rnacentral:rRNA from 1 species
CCUACGGGAGGCAGCAGUAGGGAAUCUUUCACAAUGGGCGAAAGCCUGAUGGAGCAACGCCGCGUGCAGGAUGAAGGCUUUCGGGUUGUAAACUGCUUUUAUAAGCGAGAAAUAUGAUGGUAACUUAUGAAUAAGGAUCGGCUAACUACGUGCCAGCAGCCGCGGUCAUACGUAGGAUCCGAGCAUUAUCCGGAGUGACUGGGUGUAAAGAGUUGCGUAGGUGGCAUAAUAAGUAGCUAGUGAAAACUGGUGGCUCAACCAUUCAAACUAUUAGCUAAACUGUUAAGCUCGAGACCGUUAGGGGUAACUGGAAUUUCUAGUGUAGGAGUGAAAUCCGUAGAUAUUAGAAGGAACACCAGUAGCGUAGGCAGGUUGCUGGGACGGUUCUGACACUAAGGCACGAAAGCGUAGGGAGCAAACGGGAUUAGAUACCCGUGUAGUC